CUAACCCCAGGACGGUAAUUCAACCAUGAUGUCAAGAUUAUAUAAUUGGCCGAUAAACUAAUUUAGCUAUCUAAAAAAAUGUUAGUUGAUAAAGGCUAAUUGACUGACUUUCUGUGCCUGAUAUAACAAGAAAACUGCUAAUGCACUAUCCUAACUCGCAACAGUUAACCUAGAAUGAACCGAGGGCCUCAUCCCUCCAUAGACAAUGUUCUAUAUGGCACUAUAAUGACAGCCUCUCUUCACUCACCAACUACUCUAAAAGCAAGUCACAAUAUUGUAACGUGUGGACUAGAAUAGCCGAGUUAUGCAUAAAUCUGUGAUUUUCAGAGUAUCUAGAUAGUUACCUAAUCAUUCUCUUGCAGUUCUUGGUCAUUACUCAACACCUGAGAGAAAAAAAUGUGGUUUUGAACAGUCUCUACUCUCUUCAUUUUUAUUUUGUCGGAUAGCCCAAUGCUUGUUUGGAGUCAGUCGGUUAAAUGUAAAGUUGUGUCGUCUGGAGUCUGAUCCGGAGUAUGGUACACAACAAUAAAACUAACAUAUAUGCAAUCUAAACAUACUUCAGUGCAACAUCAAAAACAUUUUGAUCAUUUUUGAUUGACAUUACAUCUUUCGGACUUCAGCACAUUUCUUCAGAUUGUAUUGAAGAAAGCUCAGGGCCCCUUUGAGAAAGAUGUUUUAUUUAACUCUCUGUAUCUACUACCAUGACAUUCUCUCUCUCCUCCCUGGGCCAGGAAAUGUGGGUUAUUUCCUGCUUAGGAGAAGGAAUGCAUACUGGAAUUGGAUCUCCUUGUUCCUCAAUCGGGAUGCAGAGCCUGAUCAAGAAUAUCACAUAAAAGGUGAGAAAAUUAGUAGUGGAUGGACAGAGUCCUGGUGAAGAAUGUGGAUUUAAAACGUUUUUUUUGUUGAUUGACUUGAGUUUCACGUCUUGUGUUUUUCAAAAGUUAUUGUUGUGUAUUUGAUUUUCUGAGUUAUUGAGUGUCCUAUGUUUUGCUUUGAAGUGGGUCCAAUUGUAUGAAAUCAAAUACCUCUUCUCAGAGGCUAUCAAAGCAUUUACCCACAGCAAUUAUGUAAAAAUGUACAUCAACAAAAAUGCUUCUGUUUUUCGAUCAAUUAUUAUUAUUAUUUUUUUUAAACAAUCAUGCAUGGAAACAUGUCAUCGGGUCUAACUGUCGUCUCGUGCUAAACUACGCCUGUGCAUGCCGUCAAAUCAAAGGCAUGCCUUCCGUUUGUCACCUUCACGAGGUUGACAUAAUAACUGGUUCAACUACUUAAGACAUUUGCUAGGUUGUGCCUUUACACUUGGAGAAAAUUAAGAACCAAGGAAGAAUAUUUAACUUCUCGAACAGCAAACCACGGACUUCUCUUGGAAGUCCUGCGAUGUUGCGCCUCUGGGUUUAGAAACUGUGGUCGUACGUUU
rnacentral:lncRNA from 1 species